rnacentral:rRNA from 1 species
ACUUGAUCUCAAAUCAGAUAAGAGUACCCGCUGAACUUAAGCAUAUCAAUAGGCGGAGGAAAAGAAACUAACUAGGAUUCCCUCAGUAACGGCGAGUGAAGCGGGAAGAGCUCAAAUUUGAAAUCUUCAAGGUUUUACCUUGACGAAUUGUAGUUUAAAGAAGUGUUUUCUGUUGGAGUUUUGGUAAAAGUUCUUUGGAAAAGGACAUCAUAGAGGGUGAGAAUCCCGUAUUUGACCAUUAUCUCCAGCUUUGUGAUACACUUUCAAAGAGUCGGAUUGUUUGGGAAUGCAGUCCAAAAUGGGUGGUAAAUUUCAUCUAAAGCUAAAUACUGGCGAGAGACCGAUAGCGAACAAGUACCGUGAGGGAAAGAUGAAAAGAACUUUGAAAAGAGAGUUAAACAGUACGUGAAAUUGUCAAAAGGGAAGCGUUUGACACCAGUGUUGUUUUCUCGAAAAUCAAUUAAAAAAGGCCGGAUUUUGUGUUGUAUUGACUUUAUCAGCUUUCUGCACUUUUUUCUUGUCUUUUUUAAUGCACUUUUCGUUUAACAAGUCAACAUCAAUUUCUUUUGUUGUAAAAGGGUCAUUGGAAGGUGGCUUUCUUUUCGGAGAAAGUGUUUAUAGCCUUUGGCCUCUGCAAUCGGAGAGAUUGAGGUCUGCAGCGUAGAUCCUUCGGGGUUAGAUACAUUUGUGCUAAGUUAUAGCCUUUCAUAGACAACUUGUUGACUAUGAUCAGUCAUGUAGCUUACUCGCUUAUGCUAUUUUACCUACGCUUAGGAUGUUGACAAAAUGGUUUUAAACGACCCGUCUUGAAACACGGACC